rnacentral:rRNA from 1 species
UGCUGCUUCGCUGACGAGUGGCGGACGGGUGAGUAGUGUCUGGGAAACUGCCUGAUGGAGGGGGAUAACUACUGGAAACGGUAGCUAAUACCGCAUAACGUCGCAAGACCAAAGAGGGGGACCUUCGGGCCUCUUGCCAUCAGAUGUGCCCAGAUGGGAUUAGCUUGUUGGUGGGGUAACGGCUCACCAAGGCGACGAUCCCUAGCUGGUCUGAGAGGAUGACCAGCCACACUGGAACUGAGACACGGUCCAGACUCCUACGGGAGGCAGCAGUGGGGAAUAUUGCACAAUGGGCGCAAGCCUGAUGCAGCCAUGCCGCGUGUAUGAAGAAGGCCUUCGGGUUGUAAAGUACUUUCAGCGGGGAGGAAGGUGUUGUGGUUAAUAACCGCAGCAAUUGACGUUACCCGCAGAAGAAGCACCGGCUAACUCCGUGCCAGCAGCCGCGGUAAUACGGAGGGUGCAAGCGUUAAUCGGAAUUACUGGGCGUAAAGCGCACGCAGGCGGUCUGUUAAGUCAGAUGUGAAAUCCCCGGGCUCAACCUGGGAACUGCAUCUGAUACUGGCAGGCUUGAGUCUCGUAGAGGGGGGUAGAAUUCCAGGUGUAGCGGUGAAAUGCGUAGAGAUCUGGAGGAAUACCGGUGGCGA